UUUAACACGAAGUGAGUGGCGGACGGGUGAGUAACACGUGGGUAACCUGCCCAGAAGCAGGGGAUAACACCUGGAAACAGAUGCUAAUACCGUAUAACAGAGAAAACCGCCUGGUUUUCUUUUAAAAGAUGGCUCUGCUAUCACUUCUGGAUGGACCCGCGGCGCAUUAGCUAGUUGGUGAGGUAACGGCUCACCAAGGCGAUGAUGCGUAGCCGACCUGAGAGGGUAAUCGGCCACAUUGGGACUGAGACACGGCCCAGACUCCUACGGGAGGCAGCAGUAGGGAAUCUUCCACAAUGGACGCAAGUCUGAUGGAGCAACGCCGCGUGAGUGAAGAAGGGUUUCGGCUCGUAAAGCUCUGUUGUUAAAGAAGAACGUGGGUGAGAGUAACUGUUCACCCAGUGACGGUAUUUAACCAGAAAGCCACGGCUAACUACGUGCCAGCAGCCGCGGUAAUACGUAGGUGGCAAGCGUUAUCCGGAUUUAUUGGGCGUAAAGCGAGCGCAGGCGGUCUUUUAAGUCUAAUGUGAAAGCCUUCGGCUCAACCGAAGAAGUGCAUUGGAAACUGGGAGACUUGAGUGCAGAAGAGGACAGUGGAACUCCAUGUGUAGCGGUGAAAUGCGUAGAUAUAUGGAAGAACNCCAGUGGCGAAGGCGGCUGUCUGGUCUGUAACUGACGCUGAGGCUCGAAAGCAUGGGUAGCGAACAGGAUUAGAUACCCUGGUAG
rnacentral:rRNA from 1 species